CCCCUCGAUUUCACGCUAUUUACAACAAAAACCAUCAGAUCUGGGCUGGGUUGGGAAGGUAAUUCUGAAAAGUUAGGGGGUAAUUGUGUCCGUGUGUUUGAGCCGAAUUUCACUUUAUUUACAAAAUUGCCACCGCCUUUUCUCUCCCUCUUUCUCUCUCCCGACUCUGUCGAUAACCAUCAUCCAUCAAAUCGCCCAUCCUUUCCUUUUCUCACUCUGUGAGCUCAUUUCCUACAACCCUAGCACUGUUUCUCUCUUAUUUCUCUCAAAUUCGAGAGACUUCUCUCUCCCAUUUCUCUCAACCUAGCCCCAGCGCUGCUCACCCCAUUCCUCUUCAUCAUCUCAGUUAAAUCCGUUCAACAAUCACCGAUGCACCUCCACACGAACCCAUAUGGAAUUUUCCUCCUGCCCACGAACCAACCUCCAUUUCGUGGAUCCACCUUCGUUGCAAGUCGCCGACACCCACAAAUGAACUCAGAUACGACCAUCAAAAGUAGGGCGGAGCUCUCGAAGAUGUCAGAUUUGAGAAGGGAAAAGGAGCGGAGCGGAAUUUAAAAUGCGCGAGCUCUGCUUCCAGGCCUCCCCGAAACUCUUGCAGGUCAGUCGUCCGAACCGAUUUCUGAAUUUUGGAUGUAUUGCGUUUGAAAAUGCCGAAAAUUAAUUGUUUUGUUGGAGUCCGAUUGAUUUCGAAGGAUCGGCGGUGGUUUUUAAAUUUGUAUUUGUAUUUGGUGCUUAAUUUAAAAAAUUGGAGUGAGUUUGGUGUGGAUCCGAGCUAAAUUAAGUAAUUAAUUGACUCUGCAAUUUUAAAAUUUUUUCAUUUGAAUUUUGUUUCAACAAACCCCACUUCUCUCGCCACGCCCCGUACUCCGGAUCGAAACACCGUCGUCCCCUGCCUCCACAUCCGGAACCCAAACCCGAGCUCGACAAGCCCACUUACAAGCAACCUACCGUGCCGCCGACUCCGCUCAAGCCGCCAUCGCUGCCUCUCUCGAUCCAUCAUUUGGUAUCACCAUCGAAUCCAAAAAGCUGCAGGUGCUUUGGCCGACGGACUCACUUGCCCAGUGGCGAAAGGGAGUUGUAGCUGGUGCUGAAAUUAGAGAUUCCGGUGCCAGGUCGUCGACAAGUUCGAUCAUCGCUGCCACCAGUUCACGCAGGCCUCAUCUCUAAGCUUUAGGAUCUGUAGACUGCUACAACUGCAGAGGGAAGCUCUGUGAUAAAUCUUUUAAUUCACUCUAUAUUUCUUUUUUUCAUCUGGGUAAUUAACUAAUUUCAGGCCAGGUCAAACGCCGCAGCAGCCUCGCUCCGUUUUCCAAAAUCCUCUUCACUUAGGCAUGCUUGAUGAGUGUUGCAGCACUGCCAUCCCUAAAUCAGAAGAUAGUCGGAAGAAGGAAGAAGAAGAAGAAGAAGGUCGUGGAAUAUCGAAAGCUUUUAGCUUUGUGAAGAUUUGUUUGAAAAGUAGCAGGAAGAAAGAAUGAGACGGUUGGAGUUCAGAGUGAAAGUUUACUUUGAUGCUAAUAGGUUGGAUCACCAGGAGAGAUUUGAGUUUUAUCAUUACAACUAAAUGUCCAUAGACACAUGAUACAGAUUGAAGCAAAUGUCAAAUUUAAAAUGGUAUGAAUCAGGACAGCUGCAAACUGUGAUUUGCGGACCUUAAAACGGAAAAGUAAGUUCGCGCUUCACUUCGGCAGCAUAAUCUAGCUUUCGAGUUCAGUUUUCAGGAAGCAAAUCAUUGAAUACACACGGAAAAUUAAAAGAAUUUUAGUUUUUGAAUUCGUAUUCAAUGACUUUGAAAUGGAGAACUUGGUUGAUUGAGACAGAGAGAUUCCAACAGCUCCAAACUCUGAUAUGUUGAUCGCGAAAUGGAGAAGUUACUUCUCGCUUAACUUUUCACAACGUAAACCAGCUCCUCAGUUCAGUUCUUAAAUAUGAGAUUUAAUCCCUUGAACUUGAAUUGGAUCACUCUAUGGGACUUUGUGUUGUUUGGCUUCUUUCUUCUCUCUUCACAUUUCUCUCACUCCCUUGCUCAAUAACUUUUCACCAUUUUCGAUUCUUUCAGAGAGUUGAAUGAGAUCUGGGCAGUCACUUAAAUUCAGGUCAAGAUGGGACACCUAUCUGGGCAAUGUCUGGAUGUCUAGGCUUGGGUAGAGACUUGGAAUUAUGGAAGAGGAAGCAACUUUGGAGAAAAGAGCUCAUGCACCACUGAAGGAGAUCACAUUAGUCAGGACUCCAGGGGCAAAUUCAACAAGCAAACAUCAUAACGUGAUAAAGGAUUAUUAGACAGCAGAAGAACAAGCGAGGAUGGGUUCCUGGUGUUGCGUGAAGUUGAUGUGCAUGAGAUAGACAUCCAUCCUGUCUCCAAUGGAGGACAUAUAUGUUGUACAUUUAUGCAUAAAUAGAGUUGUAAACAUAGUUGUAAAUGUGUAAAGAGUUUUAAACCCAUAAAAAUGAUUGUAAAUAUUGUUGGACAUUUGUGUAAAUAGAGUUGUAAACAUAAUUAUGUGUGUAAAUAGAAUUGUAAACCCGCAGCAUCGCGCGGGCACCUGUGCUUGU